rnacentral:rRNA from 1 species
GUCUAUGGCCAUACCACCCUGAUCCGGGAAGCUAAGUAGGGUUAGGCCUGGCCAUUACUUGGAUGGGAGACCACUUGAGAUUACAAGAUGCUGUAGUUU